rnacentral:rRNA from 1 species
GCCACCAGCCAUAUCACCCUGCAACUCACAACUGGCAACCCACUGAAGCGCAGCUGGUGUGAGCCUGGUCAGUACCUGGAUGUGAGACCUCCUGGGAAAAACUAAGGUUGCUGCUGGAA